ACAGCAGUAGCCGCGGUAAUACGUAGGUCCCGAGCGUUGUCCGGAUUUAUUGGGCGUAGAGCGAGCGCAGGCGGUUAGAUAAGUCUGAAGUUAAAGGCUGUGGCUUAACCAUAGUACGCUUUGGAAACUGUUUAACUUGAGUGCAAGAGGGGAGAGUGGAAUUCCAUGUGUAGCGGUGAAAUGCGUAGAUAUAUGGAGGAACACCGGUGGCGGAAGCGGCUCUCUGGCUUGUAACUGACGCUGAGGCUCGAAAGCGUGGGGAGCAAACAGGAUUAGAUACCCCUGUAGUCCCUGUCUCUUAUACA
rnacentral:rRNA from 1 species